AUGUUAAUACGAAAAUUGGAUGUGUAAGGUAUUGCGAAUGCUAACCGCAUUACAGUAACGUUUGGGUGCAGCGGCAAGAGUGAGCAUGGCAACUGCGGGGAGUAAGAAGGCUCUAUCAUUGCAGCAAUUCAUCUCUGUUACCGCUCCUCUUCUUGAUUUGGAAAAGGAAGCUGAGAUUUCAAGCUCAAUUGCUACCGGCGCGUCCAGGAAUUUGGACACCGCUCAAAAGAGGGGCUCCACAAUCCUCAACUUGAAGUGCAUCGAUGUCCAGACUGGGCUUAUGGGGAAGUCUCUGAUCGAGUUCCAGUCUACAAAAGGAGAUGUUCUUCCCGCACAUAAGUUUGGUACUCAUGAUGUUGUUGUUUUAAAACUCAACAAGGCUGAUUUAGGUUCUCCUGCUCUUGGACAAGGUGUUGUUUACAGAUUAAAGGACUCGUCAAUAACUGUUGCUUUUGAUGAUAUACCGGAAGACGGUUUGAACAGUCCCCUAAGGCUGGAAAAAGUAGCAAAUGAGGUGACAUAUCGCAGGAUGAAAGACGCAUUGAUACAGUUGAGUAAAGGAGUGCACAAGGGUCCUGCCUCUGAUCUGAUUCCUGUCUUGUUUGGGGAGAGGCAACCUACAGUUUCCAAGAAAGAUAUAUCCUUUACUCCCUAUAAUAGAAAUCUUGAUCAGUCUCAGAAAGAAGCAGUUUUAAAAGCUCUAUCGUCAAAGAAUGUGUUCUUGCUGCAUGGACCACCUGGAACGGGAAAAACUACAACAGUUGUAGAAAUUAUAUUACAAGAAGUAAAACGUGGAUCUAAGAUUCUUGCUUGUGCAGCCUCCAAUAUUGCUGUUGACAACAUUGUAGAGCGGCUAGUUCCACAUAGAGUUAAGCUGGUGAGACUGGGUCAUCCUGCACGCUUAUUGCCUCAAGUACUGGACAGUGCGCUGGAUGCUCAGGUACUACGAGGAGAUAAUAGUGGUCUUGCAAAUGACAUUCGGAAAGAAAUGAAGGCAUUGAAUGGAAAACUUCUGAAAACCAAAGACAGAAAUACAAGAAAGGACAUACAAAGGGAACUUAGGACUCUAUCCAAAGAAGAACGUAAAAGGCAGCAGCUUGCUGUAACAGAUGUACUUAAAAGUGCAGAUGUAAUAUUAACUACUUUGAUUGGGGCUUUCUCUAAGAAACUAGACAGCACUUCAUUUGAUUUAGUGAUUAUUGACGAAGCUGCUCAAGCACUUGAGAUAGCAUGCUGGAUACCUCUGCUGAAGGGUUCAAGAUGUAUACUUGCAGGGGACCAUCUUCAACUUCCUCCAACCAUUCAAAGUGUUGAAGCUGAGAAGAAAGGCUUAGGAAGAACUCUCUUUGAACGACUUGCAGAAACGUAUGGAGAUGAAAUCACAUCAAUGCUUACUGUGCAGUACCGUAUGCAUGAACUUAUCAUGGAUUGGUCUUCUAAAGAGCUUUACAACAGUAAGAUCAAGGCUCAUCCAAGUGUUAGUGCACAUAUGUUAUUUGAUCUUGACGGUGUGAAGCGGACAUCUUCAACUGAACCAACCCUUCUUCUAGUAGACACAGCUGGAUGUGAUAUGGAAGAAAAGAAAGAUGAAGAAGAUAGCACCUUUAAUGAAGGUGAAGCUGAAGUUACUGUGGCUCAUGCGAAGAGACUAGUGCAAAGUGGGGUGCUUCCUUCUGAUAUAGGAAUUAUUACCCCAUAUGCUGCCCAGGUUGUUUUGCUCAAGAUGUUGAAAAAUAAGGAGGACAAGUUGAAGGAUGUUGAAAUCUCAACAGUUGAUGGUUUCCAAGGAAGGGAGAAGGAAGCCAUUAUUAUAUCAAUGGUUCGAUCAAAUUCAAAAAAAGAGGUUGGCUUUCUAAGUGAUCGCCGACGAAUGAAUGUCGCUGUGACACGGUCUAGAAGGCAAUGCUGUCUUGUCUGUGACACAGAGACAGUCAGUGGUGAUGGAUUUCUAAAGCGAUUGAUUGAGUAUUUUGAGGAGCAUGGUGAAUAUUUGAGUGCAUCUGAGUACCAGAAUGAGUAGACCAGACUCCCAAGAUUAAGACAUCUAUCGUUGCACUCGUGCUUAUUUUGGUGAUGUUGUGAACGUUAGUCAAAUCUUUCCUAAUGUAUUUGGAAAGGAAAGCCGUUGAGGAACCAGUUCAUCAUCGAGAGAAUAGAUCGCAUGGUUUUUAGCAUCACAAAGAAGAUUGCAAGGAGACCAUUAAAGAUAUUAGAAGACAUUAUGAAAUGGGAUAUCAAUCGAAUUUGGUUUUUUACUAAAUCCAAUAAUAACUAGAUCAUUAUUAUUAUUGUUAUUUUUGGUUUUAUUAUUUUUAUUGUUACUAUCAUUCCUGUUAUUCUUCUUGUAUUAUAUUAUAUGAAUGAGACAUGGCCUUGUUUUUUGGCGGGAGGGGUAAGACAAGUAGUUUGUUUUGCAAGGUCAAUAUUUUGAUUAACAGGAAUUAUUUUUAAGCUGGCCAGUGUGUAGCAAGCAGGGAUAAUAGUGCUAUUUUUUUGGGAAAGGUCUUUUUAUCAA